UGGGGAAUAUUGGACAAUGGGGGGAACCCUGAUCCAGCCAUGCCGCGUGUGUGAAGAAGGCCUUAUGGUUGUAAAGCACUUUAAGCGAGGAGGAGGGUACUGGUAUUAAUACUACCAGGUACUGGACGUUACUCGCAGAAUAAGCACCGGCUAACUCUGUGCCAGCAGCCGCGGUAAUACAGAGGGUGCGAGCGUUAAUCGGAUUUACUGGGCAUAAAGCGUGCGUAGGCGGCUAAUUGAGUCGGAUGUGAAAUCCCCGAGCUUAACUUGGGAAUUGCAUUCGAUACUGGUUAGCUAGAGUGUGGGAGAGGAUGGUAGAAUUCCAGGUGUAGCGGUGAAAUGCGUAGAGAUCUGGAGGAAUACCGAUGGCGAAGGCAGCCAUCUGGCCUAACACUGACGCUGAGGUACGAAAGCAUGGGGAGCAAACAGG
rnacentral:rRNA from 1 species